rnacentral:rRNA from 1 species
AUUGAACGCUGGCGGCAGGCCUAACACAUGCAAGUCGAGCGGAUGAGGAAAGCUUGCUUUUCGAUUCAGCGGCGGACGGGUGAGUAAUGCCUAGGAAUCUGCCUGUUAGUGGGGGAUAACUCGGGGAAACUCGGGCUAAUACCGCAUACGUCCUACGGGAGAAAGUGGGGGAUCUUCGGACCUCACGCUAACAGACGAGCCUAGGUCGGAUUAGCUAGUAGGUGAGGUAAUGGCUCACCUAGGCGACGAUCCGUAACUGGUCUGAGAGGAUGAUCAGUCACCCUGGAACUGAUACACGGUCCAGACUCCUACGGGAGGCAGCAGUGGGGAAUAUUGGACAAUGGGCGAAAGCCUGAUUCAGCCAUGCCGCGUGUGUGAAGAAGGUCUUCGGAUUGUAAAGCACUUUAAGUUGGGAGGAAGGGUAUUCACCUAAUACGUGGGUACUUUGACGUUACCAACAGAAUAAGCACCGGCUAACUCUGUGCCAGCCGCCGCCGUAACAC